rnacentral:rRNA from 1 species
ACCUGACUGCUAUCGGAUUGAUACUAAGCCAUGCGAGUCAUUGUAGCAAUACAAGGCAUACGGCUCAGUAACGCGUAGUCAACCUAACCUAUGGACGGGAAUAACCUCGGGAAACUGAGAAUAAUGCCCGAUAGAACACUAUACCUGGAAUGGUUUGUGUUCCAAAUGAUUUAUCGCCAUAGGAUGGGACUGCGGCCUAUCAGUUUGUUGGUGAGGUAAUGGCCCACCAAGACUAUUACAGGUACGGGCUCUGAGAGGAGUAGCCCGGAGAUGGGUACUGAGACACGGACCCAGGCCCUAUGGGGCGCAGCAGGCGAGAAAACUUUGCAACGUGCGAAAGCACGACAAGGUUAAUCCGAGUGAUUUGUGCUAAACGAAUCUUUUGUUAGUCCUAGAAACACUAACGAAUAAGGGGUGGGCAAGUUCUGGUGUCAGCCGCCGCGGUAAAACCAGCACCUCAAGUGGUCAGGAUGAUUAUUGGGCCUAAAGCAUCCGUAGCCGGCUCUGUAAGUUUUCGGUUAAAUCUGUACGCUUAACGUACAGGCUGCCGGGAAUACUGCAGAGCUAGGGAGUGGGAGAGGUAGACGGUACUCGGUAGGAAGUGGUAAAAUGCUUUGAUCUAUCGAUGACCACCUGUGGCGAAGGCGGUCUACCAGAACACGUCCGACGGUGAGGGAUGAAAGCUGGGGGAGCAAACCGGAUUAGAUACCCGGGUAGUCCCAGCUGUAAACUAUGCAAACUCAGUGAUGCAUUGGCUUGUGGCCAAUGCAGUGCUGCAGGGAAGCCGUUAAGUUUGCCGCCUGGGAAGUACGUACGCAAGUAUGAAACUUAAAGGAAUUGGCGGGGGAGCACCACAAGGGGUGAAGCCUGCGGUUC